GUGGGGAAUAUUGCACAAUGGGCGCAAGCCUGAUGCAGCCAUGCCGCGUGUGUGAAGAAGGCCUUCGGGUUGUAAAGCACUUUCAGCGGGGAGGAAGGCAAUACGGUUAAUAACCGUGUUGAUUGACGUUACCCGCAGAAGAAGCACCGGCUAACUCCGUGCCAGCAGCCGCGGUAAUACGGAGGGUGCAAGCGUUAAUCGGAAUUACUGGGCGUAAAGCGCACGCAGGCGGUCUGUCAAGUCGGAUGUGAAAUCCCCGGGCUCAACCUGGGAACUGCAUUCGAAACUGGCAGGCUUGAGUCUUGUAGAGGGGGGUAGAAUUCCAGGUGUAGCGGUGAAAUGCGUAGAGAUCUGGAGGAAUACCGGUGGCGAAGGCGGCCCCCUGGACAAAGACUGACGCUCAGGUGCGAAAGCGUGGGGAGCAAACAGGAUUAGAAACCCUGGUAGUCC
rnacentral:rRNA from 1 species